ensembl:lncRNA
CGAUGAUAGAAUGGAGAAACUCACCUUGAACUGCAUUGCUAGGGUGUGUCUCUUGGAAUACAGCCACACUGGAAAGGAACCUGAAAGCUCCGAUGUUUUGCCUAUUAGAAACAAUAAUGUUUGUACGUUGUAUAUUUGUUUUGGUAUCUCAAAAGCAAGCCCUACAGACUUCCUGAAAUUGUCUGUACCAAUACAGCACAGAAAAGGAGCAACCCCUGAGACAAGCUUGUGAUAAGCAGGAGUUUCCUGUGAUCCCCACGGGCUGUUCCGUUCUCGGAUAGGUAUUUCCCAGAGUGACCUACUUACAGGGAACUGCACGUGGCGCUGUGCUGACACACCAAUGACCCCCAGCAGGCCACGAAUAAUCCAGCGACCUUCGUGUGGUGAUGGAACACUUUCCCAAUGUAACUUCACUGCAAGAGGAUACAGUGUCCAAACUCUUUAGCCAGGAAAGAUCAGUAUUUUGAUCAAAACCUGACAACCUGCUGGAGACCGUGACCACCGCCGGCCUGGCUGUUCCAGUUCACGCACUGUGCUGUGGGAGGACU